AAUAAAAAAAGUGUCAUGUACAAAAGGAACCAGACCCACAGAACACAUAAUAAGGUAAUAUAUUCCGAACGUUGUCAAAAUUUGUUUGUCAAAAAUGGGCACCAAUCUGUCAGGUCGGCCUUUAAUUUUUAUAUUUCAAUCGCAGUAAACAAGAAAUUUGUUUUUGUUUUAAUUUAUAAAAUGUCAUUUAAAAAUAUUAUAAAUUGAAAAAUAACAAAUUUUCUUCGUGUUUCAUCGCGGAAAAUUGUAAAUAAUUGUUUGAAAAUUAGUGGUGUGCGUGGUUUAUCGGUUUUUGUGCGUUUUUCGUCGGUAUUUUAAACAAUUAAGAAUUCGGUAGCUGACAUUGGUCGCCAAAGUGUCAUGUUUUGACAAUCUGGCGACCAAUGUCAGUUCGGAAUAUAUUACCUUUUUAUGUGUACUGUGAACCAGACCUAUCUUUCUAUAUAUUUUCGGGCACGCUGAAUCCGAAUUUAAAGUCCGUUUGACCCUGUCACCCUCCAGUUUUGAGGAAAAUGCAAAAAACUAAAAAAAAAGAAGUUUUUUGCCUUUUUUGGGGUCUUUUUUGCAUUUUUCUCAAAACUGGAGGGUGACCGGGCAAAACGGACUUGAAAUUCGGAUUCAGCGGGUCCAAAUACAUAUAGAAAGAUGGGUCUUGUUCCUGGUACAUACAACUUUUUUUUUGGUGUGCUGGCACUGUCGCGAAAUAUCGCUUUUAUCCCCGGCACACAAAAAAAAAGUUCCAUGUACCAGGAACCAGACAUAAUAUUCAAAUUGAUACUUGUAAAGUAUCCCAUUUUUUUCAUUACUACAUGAAGAUUAUUCUGUCGGACCAGACGGUAUUCCUGCAGCAGUUCUGAAAAAUUGUAAGUCAAUUUUAUCUCUUCCACUUAAACUUACAGGGCUAUUCUGGAGUUGUGAUGCUCACAAGUCACAAUUUUUUAUGAGGUUAUUUUUGUGAGGUUUCUUAUGAGGUUGUCACAAUUUGGUAUUCUGCGAAAAACCUCAUAAGAAACCUCACAACAAAUUCACCACAGGAAGGUGAGUUGAUUAUGACAGCCAGCUGAUUUGUCAAAACAAGUCCGAUAAAAAAAAAAUCAAUACACAUAUUUUGCAAAUAUUUUUGAUUUGGAAUUAAAACAUGUUUUAUAGGAUAAAGGAAAGAAGGCAUUUAUCGACAAAAGAAGUCUGUACCUUUCCAUUUAGUACAGAGAAGUCAAAACGAUUCUCUGAUCGCUGAUGAGGAUACUCUUACUCAGCGUCCCAAAAAGAAAAAUUGAUGAAUUUAUUUAAGUUACAUUACAUUAGAUGGAGGAAAAGAACAUCCUCGAUAAUACAUGCAAUUCCAAUUUAGCAUUUGAUGAGGCAAUUGCUUUUGGUUAUGUCGCAAUAUUCUAAGUUGAGAGCAGAUCAAAGAGGCAGCUCUGCCAACAUGAGUCAUCACAGAUCACAUUAGUUCUACUUCGGAAGGAUUUGGACCAUCCGGCGGCUUAAGUAGUUCGUCGGUUAAAACACCAAGUAUUAAUUUCAGCGAAAUCAUAUCUACUCCUAGAGCACAAAAACCAAUGGCUCGCAAUGCGCUCCAUUUAGGUGGCAAAGCCAAGAUAAUUUAAUUGAUAAUUUGAAGAGAGAAUUAUACAUUUUUAAAAGGGGGAAGCAUCUGCACCGAAUGAGAAACCGAAGUUCUCAAUGUACAUCAAUUUAUUUGUCAACUUAAGGCUUAACUACAUUCAACUUCAAAAAGUACAAAAGUGGAAAAAUGUUUUGUCCUGUACCAACACACUGCGAAAUUCUAUCUUUUAUCUCAGAAAAACAAAAGUAAAAGCUAAAAAGGUUUUAACUUUCACUUUUUGAAAAUUUUUCACUUUUUGAAAACACCAACACAUUCAAAGACGGAGUUAAAAAAAAUGAUAGCUAGAUGUCGCUUAUAAAGAAAAAUUUUGAUGAACACGCCUUUUUUUGACAUUUGUUUUUUUUUGUUUUAUGGGUAGCAAAAAAUAUGGAAACCGAAUAUAUCAGCUCCAAAGCAUUAUAUAGUAAAAUAUGGGUCACUGCAAUGAUAAAACAACUUCUUGCUAUUAAUGCCGAAAGCCAAGCCACUUCACCAGCCAGUUGCUCCGCGGGUACAACUUUUAGUUUCUGCAGAGUAUAAAUUGUGAAACUCAACCCUGAACCAGAAUAUCCCGGUGCAUCCAUUGGAAUCCUGAAAAUAUCAAUGCCAAAAGAAGCUGCAUCUAUUCCAGUCGGUGAUUGACAAAAUUAAUGUUACAUGCUAAUGCUUAUGGAACGCGAAAAGAAAACCAAUAAAAAGUGUUUGUGUGUGAAAAUAUUUUAUUUAUUACUAUUUUGUAUUUGUUUAGCAAAAUUUUGAGAAAUGUUGGUUUUAGAAUUGUUUAUUUUUGUUCCUUUCUUUGUGUUUAUUUUACAUGAUCUGUCCUUUUAAUUUAAUUAACAUUACAUGGAUAAUUCCUUUUUUUAAAUUCUUUUCCUUGAAGAAUUUGUUCCGUGUGUUGUUAUUGUUUGUUUAUUUUUUUUUUUACUGACAAAUGUCACAUAAAUUCAGGAGUGUUACCAGCUCCAAAAAAAAAUUAAUGAACUCUCUUUCGCGAGAAGAUGUCGCUACGGUAUUUGUGUAAAAGCUUUUCACUUUUUGUAAAGCUUUUCACUUUUUGAAAUUUUUCAAAAAGUGGCCAAUGUAGUUAAGCCUUUAAGUGGACACAAUGUGCGUAAAAAGCAUGCUACGAAAGUGAAAUAUUCCACCAAUUGACUGUUUGUCAAUCUGCCAGGAAAUGGAAUUAGCUUCUGAAGAAGAAAUGAACUGCGUUUGUGAAUUCUCCACAGCCAUCGGCAAUAAAAUGGCAUGUCAUUUGGCAUUUUGUUGUCACAAAUCGGCAUAUUUAUUUGAGUGUUGAAAAUACGGUUAAAUGCCAUAUGCUUGAUAUGUUGGAAUUAGUACGUUGCUAUGGAGAAACAAUUACUGAGGAAGAUGCAAAUAAUUGAGAGGUUUCCGUUCCUGCAGACGAAACUGCUCAAACUACUGAACAACCAGAAAAUCCAUCACCAGAUGAUGAUUAUGAAUCACAAGAAAAUGAUGAUUUUUUUUCUAUUCUACCAAAUGAUAUCCAGGACAAGUCUGGGAGACACGUUUAGAAGCUGGAACUGGAACAAAACCUGGAGACUUCAUUAAAAUGCAACUUGGGAUGACCAUAUUUUCGAUUUGAUCUGGCUCUGGUAAAACCUGUUGCACAAAGUGAACUCACGAAUACGAAAUAAGCGAUACUUCAAAGAAUUUCUUUGCGAGAGUCAUAAUGCUUCGGAGAACCUAUUCAAAAUACUUGCCUGCAGUAUGUCAACAAUAUUGGAAAAAAAUCUAACAAUAUUCUGUUUUUAAUUUGCACAAUAAGACCAAAUCGAUGUAGAAAACCCAAGAAAGAGCGAUAUAAAUCUGGCGAGCUAUAUAGAAUAAACAGUAGCUCAUCUUCCCGUAUUUUCACAAAAAAAAUCUGGAUAUAGACAUGCAAUCUCGACAGCUAGAUGCUCUACUUAUUGUUGAGAAAUUAGAUGUAACAGAACAUUGGCAUUGGCACAUUAGUUCAGUAGGUGUUCGAAAUCUUGGAACAAAUUUGCAGAAUAAAAUCACAUUUUAUUUGAUGUCUCGUACGGCAAUUAAAUUGCCGUAAGAACUACGUUUACCGAUUUAACAUCAUCUUCGAUGUGUGCAAUUUCGUUCAUUUCCAUACUUAAUUAAAUAGAAAGGUGUAAGUAACCAGCAAUUAGUUGGCUUGCUAGAAUUAGCCCAACAACACUGCAAUUGCUCAUCAACAUCUGAAGGUACUAGAAUCGACAACAUGGAUAUGGACAGUACCUCUACAAGUAAUGCCUCAAACAUAAACAUGGAGGAGAGAGAAUGAUCUACUAGGACCUGCUAAAUGUUAAUAAAAUAACACAAUUAUCCAGGAUAAAGUUCUGAAUAGAAAUAAUUUUAAUAAUCAGUGGCUCAUCAAGCCAUGUAAUGCAUGUAGUUAAGAUGAUGUUGAUAUGACAACCGUGUGGUCAUGCAUCUCGAUUAUCAGCUUUGGAAAACCACAGCCUUGGGCUUUAGCUGUUUGCAAAUAUCUGUUUCUGUGGACUUCUUCAGCCAAAAAAUGGCCAUUGUUUUAAGGCAUUUACUACCAGAUCAUUUGAGAUGGAACAGAACUAGAGCAAUAUCCUCAGGCUGAUAAAGAAGGCAAAUCAUAUGGACCAAGCUGAAAAGAUUACAAAGAAGGCUGAAAAGUAAAAAGCUCGGAAAAUCCUUCAGCAAAAUUACUAUAGUUUGCUUCUUUUUUUUCAAAUUUACUGUUACUUUGAAAUAAUUCGAUUUUUACAGUAAAAACGUAAAUUAAA